AUUGAACGCUGGCGGCAGGCCUAACACAUGCAAGUCGAACGAGUGGCGGACGGGUGAGGAAUGUCUGGGAAACUGCCUGAUGGAGGGGGUUAACUACUGGAAACGGUAGCUAAUACCGCCUACCUUCGGAUGUGCCCAGAUGGGAUUAGCUAGUGGGAGGGGUAACGGCUCACCUAGGCGACGAUCCCUAGCUGGUCUGAGAGGAUGACCAGCAACACUGGAACUGAGACACGGUCCAGACUCCUACGGGAGGCAGCAGUGGGGAAUAUUGGACAAUGGGCGAAAGCCUGAUGCAGCCAUGCCGCGUGUAUGAAGAAGGGCUUCGGGUUGUAAAAUACUUUCAGCGGGGAGGCGUUACCCGCAGAAGAAGCACCGGCUAACUCCGUGCCAGCAGCCGCGGUAAUAC
rnacentral:rRNA from 1 species